GAUGAACGCUGGCGGCGUGCCUAAUACAUGCAAGUCGAGCGAACGGACGAGAAGCUUGCUUCUCUGAUGUUAGCGGCGGACGGGUGAGUAACACGUGGAUAACCUACCUAUAAGACUGGGAUAACUUCGGGAAACCGGAGCUAAUACCGGAUGAUAUUUUGAACCGCAUGGUUCAAAAGUGAAAGACGGUCUUGCUGUCACUUAUAGACGGAUCCGCGCUGCAUUAGCUAGUUGGUAAGGUAACGGCUUACCAAGGCAACGAUGCAUAGCCGACCUGAGAGGGUGAUCGGCCACACUGGAACUGAGACACGGUCCAGACUCCUACGGGAGGCAGCAGUAGGGAAUCUUCCGCAAUGGGCGAAAGCCUGACGGAGCAACGCCGCGUGAGUGAUGAAGGUCUUCGGAUCGUAAAACUCUGUUAUUAGGGAAGAACAGAUGUGUAAGUAACUGUGCACAUCUUGACGGUACCUAAUCAGAAAGCCACGGCUAACUACGUG
rnacentral:rRNA from 1 species